rnacentral:rRNA from 1 species
GUGCCAGCCGCCGCGGUAAUACGAGGGGGGCAAAUGUUGUUCGGAAUCACUGGGCGUAAAGGGAGCGUAGGCGGGGUCUUAAGUAAAGUGUUUAAUCCCGGGGCCCAACCCCGGACCGGCAUUUUAAACUGGGACUCUUGAAUAGUGGAGAGGUCGGUGGAAUUGGAGGUGUAGCGGUGGAAUGCGUAGAGAUCUCCAAGAACACCAGUUGCGAAGGCGGCCGACUGGACACAUAUUGACGCUGAGGCUCGAAAGCAUGGGGAGCAAACAGGAUUAGAAACCCCCGUAGUCC